rnacentral:tRNA from 1 species
GCAGAGAUGGCCGAGUCUGGUUUAUGGCGCCUGCCUAGAAAGCAGGAGGUCGAAAGAUCCGUGGGUUCAAAUCCUACUCUCUGCG